rnacentral:rRNA from 1 species
GGACCCGCACAAGCGGUGGAUUAUGUGGUUUAAUUCGAAGCUACGCGCAAAACCUUACCGGCCCUUGACAUGUGACGUAAGGAGAUCAGAGAUGAUUUCCAUCACUUCGGGUGGCGUCAACACAGGUGCUGCAUGGCUGUCGUCAGCUCGUGUCGUGAGAUGUUGGGUUAAGUCCCGCAACGAGCGCAACCCUCAUCAUUAGUUGCCAUCAGGUAAAGCUGGGAACAUUAAUGAAACUGCCGGUGUUAAGCCGGAGGAAGGUGGGGAUGACGUCAAGUCCUCAUGGCCCUUAUGAGCCGGGCUACACACGUAAUACAAUGGUAGUGACAGAGAGCUGCUAAGAGGUGAAACUCGGAGCGAAUCUACUUAAAAACUACCUCAGUUCGGAUUGUCUCCUGCAACUCGGAGGCAUGAAGUCGGAAUCGCUAGUAAUCGCAGAUCAGCAAUGCUG